AGCUCCAAUAGCGUAUAUUAAUGUUGUUGUUGUUCAACAGCUCGUAUUUUUCUCUCUUCGGUCUUAGGGCGGUUCGCUUGCUUGAGUGCUACUGCUCUAUAGGCCGUGGUUUUGCCAGAGGUCUCGGGGUGCUCUUAACCGAGUGUCCUGCGAUGCUGGCAGGUUUACUUUGAAAAAAUUAGAGUGCUCAAAGCAGGCUUUUACGCCUGAAUAUUCGUGCAUGGAAUAAUAGAAUAGGAAGUCGUUUCUAUUUUGUUGGUUUUCGGAAAUCGACUUAAUGAUUAAUAGGGACAGUCGGGGGCAUUUGUAUUCAAACGACAGAGGUGAAAUUCUUGGACCGUUUGAAGACAAACUACUGCGAAAGCAUUUGCCAAGAAUGUUUUCA
rnacentral:rRNA from 1 species